rnacentral:rRNA from 1 species
GACGAACGCUGGCGGCGUGCCUAAUACAUGCAAGUUGAGCGAUGAAGAUUGGUGCUUGCACCAAUUUGAAGAGCAGCGAACGGGUGAGUAACGCGUGGGGAAUCUGCCUUUGAGCGGGGGACAACAUUUGGAAACGAAUGCUAAUACCGCAUAAUAACUUUAAACAUAAGUUUUAAGUUUGAAAGAUGCAAUUGCAUCACUCAAAGAUGAUCCCGCGUUGUAUUAGCUAGUUGGUGAGGUAAAGGCUCACCAAGGCGAUGAUACAUAGCCGACCUGAGAGGGUGAUCGGCCACAUUGGGACUGAGACACGGCCCAAACUCCUACGGGAGGCAGCAGUAGGGAAUCUUCGACAAUGGACGAAAGUCUGACCGAGCAACGCCGCGUGAGUGAAGAAGGUUUUCGGAUCGUAAAACUCUGUUGGUAGAGAAGAACGUUGGUGAGAGUGGAAAGCUCAUCAAGUGACGGUAACUACCCAGAAAGGGACGGCUAACUACGUG